GCUAACCACUGAGUCUGUGUUCCUUUUCUGGACUUCUGACACUAGUGGCACCUGCCUGGACCUUUGUUCAUACUAGCAACAUAUAAAACAUUCCAUUUUUGCACAAGCUCUCCAGCUUUUCACAUGGUCACCACUGUUUCUGCUUUGGUGCUUUUGGUACAGUAUGUGCCUGGUGCCCAUGGAGGCCAGAAGAAGGCGUCAGAUCCCCUGGAGCUGGAGUUACGGAUGGUGGUGACCCACCCUGUGGGCGCUGGGGAUUGAACCUGGCUCUUCUGCAAGAGCCAUAAGCGCUCUUAGCCACUGACUGGCCUCUGUCACCUCCCCACAGCGGCCAUGGUUUUUGCAAAAACCUCAAUACUCUGUGUGUGUGUGUGUGUGUGUGUGUGUGUGUGUGUGUGUGUGUGUGUGUGAUUUCCCCAUUCGUGUCCUUUCUCGAUUGCUUUUAAGAUUGUUAUUUUUUCCCAGAACUCUCUCAAAUUUAGAGAUACUUUUAGAAAUUCGCCUGUGAUGUGUCUUGGCAUGAUGCUGGAGACUUUUCUCAUUUCAGGGGGUUUCCUGAGUAAUGUGGGGAUGUUGUUAAAUCAAGAACAUUUGCUACCAUUAUUUCUUCAAAUACUCUUAGGCUCAGGUAUCUGGCCACCUGGUCUCCAGUUGGUGGCACUGUGUAGGAAGGGUUAUGGAACCUGGAAGAGGUGCAGCUUUGCUGGAGGAAGCAUGCACCUCACUUGGGGUGGGCUUUGAGAAUUCAGAGUCCCCUCCCACUUCCGGGUUGUUCUCUCUGGCUGAAGAUGCCAUGUCACAGUUUCCUGAUUCAGCUGCCUGCUGCUGGGUCUCCUCCAUCAUUACAACCUCUCCCUCUGGUCCCUUAAGCCAAACCAAACUCUUCCUGAGUUGCGGGUCGUGGGGCUUUAACACUGCCAUGAAAGUGACGAAAAAAAGUCAGUCACCUUCCCACCUCAGCCUGGAGAUUGCAGGAUGCCCCUUGAGCCAUUUUUAUAAUUUGAAAUUUCUAUCAGAUUGCUGUAGGAAUCUAGCAGAGCCACUGUGUCCAGGGUAAGCAUUAGAGUGAAGGGUUGCUUUUUAGAAGUACUUUGGCCUGGAAGCAUCAUUGUGGAACAGUGAUUGUUUCCCGUGAUUUACAG
rnacentral:lncRNA from 1 species